rnacentral:lncRNA from 1 species
GUUGUCAGAAAAAAUUGUUAUUAAUGAUGGCUAUGUUGCCAUUGCUAAUAGCUGUCAGUAAAGAAAUUAUUAGUGAUAGAAAAAUUACCGUCGAUAAUGCCAUCGCUAAUAUUUGCCAUUAGUGAUGACGAAUAUGCUGUCGCUAAUAGCUGUCACUAAUAUCUUAAUUUCUUGUAGUGUGAUCAGGUCAAAGGUAUUAUUACCUUACAGCAUGGUCCUGACUUUUGUCAUCAAAGAGCAUGGUGUG